rnacentral:rRNA from 1 species
GGGAUAACUCCGGGAAACUGGAGCUAAUACCAGAUAAGACCACGAUGUCUAAGGGCGUUGAGGUAAAAGGUGGCGGGGAAACUCGCUAUCACCAGGGGAUGGGUUCACGUCCCAUCAGGUAGUUGGUGAGGUAAUGGCUCACCAAGCCACAGACGGGUAGCUGGCCUUAGCGGGUAGCCAGCCACACGGGAACUGAGACACGGUCCCGACUCCUACGGGAGGCAGCAGUGGGGAAUAUUGGGCAAUGGGCGAAAGCCUGACCCAGCGACGCCGCGUGGGGGAUGAAGGUCUUCGGAUCGUAAACCCUUGUCAGGAGGGAUGAUGGGUCUGUGGGCUAAUAUCCCAUGGAUUUGACAGUACCUCCAGAGGAAGCCCCGGCUAACUCCGUGCCAGCAGCCGCGGUAAUACGGAGGGGGCAAGCGUUGCUCGGAUUUACUGGGCGUAAAGGGUCCGUAGGUGGCUCUGUAAGUUAGAUGUGAAAUCUCAGGGCUUAACCCUGAAAUUGCAUCUAAAACUGCAGAGCUUGAGUUCGGAAGAGGUUGGCGGAAUUCCCGGUGUAGCGGUGAAAUGCGUAGAUAUCGGGAGGAACACCAGUGGCGAAGGCGGCCAACUGGUCCGACACUGACACUGAGGGACGAAAGCGUGGGGAGCGAACCGGAUUAGAUACCCGGGUAGUCCACGCCUUAAACGAUGGAUGCUAGGUGUGGGGGCGUAAGCCUUCGUGCCGCAGCUAACGCAUUAAGCAUCCCGCCUGGGAAGUACGGUCNNNANNNNGAAACUCAAAGGAAUUGACGGGAAGGG